rnacentral:rRNA from 1 species
AUGAGUUGCCUAGUUUGGAACUGUCGUGGGGCUGGCAAACCCGUGAUAGUUCGCGAGCUUCGAGAUCUCUCAAAGCAACAUGCCCCCUCUAUUGUUUGUAUCCUUGAAACCCAGAUAGAUGGCUCGCGAGUCGAGAAUUUGGUAGGCACUUUAGGCUUUGAUAAAAGUUUCGCUGUAAGCAGCUCCGAGAGGAGCGGUGGACUUGGAAUAUUUUUGAAGGAAGAAAUAAAAUUAGAAAUUAUUGGCUACUCAAAAUACCAUAUUGAUGUUAUUUUUGAUGAGAUGGCAGGAACACAGAAGAGAAUCACCUUCGUCUAUGGCGAACCUCAGACUCAAGAGAGGUAUAAUACAUGGAACAUGCUACGUGGCAUAGCUGGUACAAGCAGUCAACCAUGGGUGGUGAUAGGAUAUUUCAACGAGGUUCUCCCUGCGCAUGAACACGACAGAGUUCGUACAAGGAGCCAAGCUCAUAUGGAUGCGUUUCGUGAUGCUUUGGACACGUGCAGGCUCUCUAAUAUAGGCUAUGAUGGUCUCGGAUGGACUUUUGAGAAGAAGGUGGUGGGAGGAUCCUAUACCAGAGUAAGGCUAGACCGGGGAGCAGCUAACCCGGAGUGGAUCCUACCGUUCCCUUCGGCAUCUUUGCAGCACUUAACAGCGAUGAGCUUAGACCAUGUACCUUGCUCCUACGUCUGCAUGGAGAGCGACCAUGCACAAGGGGCCCAAAACCUUUUAAAUACGAAGUUGCAUGGGAACGGGAUUCCACCCUCCCGUCGGUAG